AACGAACGCUGGCGGCAGGCCUCAAACAUGCAAGUCUAGGGGGCGUAGCAAUACGUCACCGGCGGACGGGUGCGUAACACGUGGGAAUGUACCUAUUGGUUCGGAACAACGCAGGGAAACUUGCGCUAAUACCGAAUGUGCCCUUACAGGGAAAGAUUUAUCGCCAAUGGAUCAGUCCGCCUCCGAUUAGCUAGUUGGUG
rnacentral:rRNA from 1 species